CAAAAGCAAUUAUUUUAGUGUCUCUUGUUACACAUCCAUUGAGAAAGUAAUUAUUUUGGCAUGCAAAAGAGUGUGUACCACUCCACAAAAUAUCUCUAUCGUUGCCUAGGUCCUGCUAUUAGUCUUACUAAUUUGUAAGAAAAUCAUACACAGAAUUAUAGUUUCCGGUUCUAAGGAAUCAUUUUUCACUGGUUCCAAAUUUCGAUAAUAUCCUCUCAUCUGCAAAGUUGCAGUAAAAACGUCAUAUUAAAUUAAACAAACGCUUGGUGCAAAAUUGACUAAUGCCAGCCAAAUAUCACUUUGCUUGCUCCUUUGUCUCAAAUAACUGGAUGAGAAAAUUUUGUUUAGCAAAAUGUAAAUGAAUUCGCUCCUUGGUAAUCUAUUUGCGUGAUCUAAUAUCAAUAUGAAGGAAUUCACUGUAUCACAAAUACUUCCAUAGGAACUAAGAAAUUCAGUUUUAAAUCAGUCAUGAUACUCAUACAAUGAGAAAUGCAUGCAAAAGGAUCCAGAAGGAAUAACAAAGGAGUUAUUCACAGCAUCAUCGUACCUAAGAAACAUCUUGACCACUUUAGAAUUUGUCUACGCUCACUCCAUCUCUAAGUACCUCGUAUGCCUCUCUACUCCUGGUUUUCUUCAUCCCAGCUGUGAAAUGGAGCUUUGAUCCAUCAGAAGUGAUACAAGUCACUUUAACCCAAAUCAUCACCUUAGUCUUAAUCCCCUCUACAUCAGCCAGUUUUCCUUUCUCCAAAUACCCGGUUACAGUGGCGGAGAAACGCAAGACAGAUGAAUCCUUGUAGCCCACUUCACAGAUUGAGGGAAUAAAGACAGUAAGCUUUCCUGUCUCCUCAUUAAACUCAUAGUUGGUUGCAUCUCGAGGGAAGAUUCCUACAGCCAAGUCAUACUCCUUAAGCAGUUCCGGCAAUGGCUUUUGCAUUUUUCCUGUGCACCAAAUGUUAUUUCAUCAUACAAAUGCUAAAGCUACCUCAGAAUGAUUUUUAUAGAUAACCUCCAAAUCAAUACACCAAUUAAACAUGGGAGAUGAAAACCUAACCAUAACACUAUGAAUGAGGCUGUAGACUAGAAUGGCAAUUUAUUCAAAGAAACUUCGGUGUCACCCAAGUAGGUCACUGGACAUUUCCCAAACUAAGGCCAGAUUAAAGCCAAAUGACAGCACAGUCUGACCUUCAGCCAGUAGCAAAUAGUUAUUUCCACGAUGUCAAAAGCACCUAUGCUUUAAGCCUAGUUGGCUAUCAUCCUUCCUUGGGAUCGGGGAGUUUGGCAACUCAAAUCCCCCCAACUACUUAGUUAGCAAAUACUCUUGAUCUUAUAUAUGAAUUAUAUUUCCAAUACUGCUUGACCUAUUGAAAGUUGUAACUAGGAAUUGUCUGUUUGCUAUACCUAGGCUUCUAAAUACUGAUUGUGUAUGUACUGGAUACUAUUGACAAAAAAGAAAAGAAAAGAAUGAUAUCAAAUCUAAUGAAUAUUGAAGUAACUGAAAUGUUUUUUCUACAGGCAUGAACAGCUUUCAAAUCGGGUUGAAAAAGAGAAGGCCAUAAAUUGCAGAUUUAUAAAAUCUGACAUCUGGAGCACAAUAUAUGCAAGGCCAAAUUGAACUUGGUUAACGUCCCCAAUGGAUGAACUUACCGAAAAAAAUAAUUCCAAAGGUAAUCCAAUUAAAAUCAGUAAGGAACAGCAUACUCCUAUAUUUGACGUCAGGGUUAUUAUAAAAACUUGAAACUACAGCACAGUUUUAUGAGCACAAAAGUAGCACAUAAAAAUUAAAGCAUCACAUUUGAGAGUUGUACAUGGCAAUAAGAUUAUGUAGUUUAGAAAUGGAGACUAACAUAAUACACAAGGCAGAAAAGUGCAAUGUCACGGGGGAAAAACAAGAGUAAGAAGAAGAAAGCAAAAAUGAAAAUUAACCAACCUUUUAUUUUGUUGACUAACCAUUUGGCUCCUCCUUCAAUACUGCUCGACAUUGACUGUUUAACAGGGGAAAAAUGUCAGUAUGAAAAUUGUGCUAACCGCUGAUGCAAUUGUAGCAGGGCACAUGAGCAUGAGCAAAUAUACAAAAGGAAAUAAGUUUAUGUGCAUAAGCAGCAUUAUCAAGAAUAAAAACUAAAUAAAAAAAGGUGGAAUUCUCAAAUGUUUGACUUCAACUUGAAAAGAGAUCAUAUUCCAUAUGAAUUUUCAUAACAUUGUAAAUAAUUCCAAAACAAACACAUCAUCUCAUUUUCCAACUUCCAAUCAUAAUUUCUACUCAAAAUUUCAAUUUCUUGAUAUGGAAAUAUAAUAACACCAUUAAACAUCACAAUUACAGAAGUCGCAAGUUUAAUAGUAUUUAGGACAGUGAACUAGGCCACGAGAUUCUAUUUCUUUCUUGGUUCAUGAGUGUAAAUUUAUAUUUCUGCUCUACUAUCUUCCACCAUUUUACACCAUUAAAAAGUACACUCAAUUUCUUCAACAUUAAUUUAAAGUAUUCUGAGCAAUUAUUUAUCACCAACCUCCAGCAUUACCACAAGUUCAACUAUUUAGGUAUCAUAUUCCUAAUCACCAAGUCGCAAUUGAUAAGCAGCUCCAUGAAAUCAAAAAAGCUUCAAUUUGCAUUAAAAGCUCAUUUUAGAUUCGAUUUAACAGAGAACAAAAGCCAUUUCUAGAUGUUUCCAGACAAAACCCAAUUUUGUACGUUCCAGUAAUAUUAGAAUCUACUACCGGUUAUCACAAGUCACAAAUUUUCCAAAAAUCAUCUUAAUUCCGACACUAUAUAUAGCAAUUAUUGCCACGAAUGAUGAAAAAUUAGAGCAUUGACAUUUCUGGAAAAGAAAAAUCCCUAAUACAAUCAACAAUUAAUCAAAGCAAAAGGGAACGAAGGCGAUUACGAGUAGAUGGAAGUUAUACAUGAAAUUAAAAAGUGGAUUAAAGAGGAGGGAUUGAAAUUGGAGAGAAAUGGAAGGGAAACGAACGUUAAUGUCGUCGCCGACAGAAUUGAGCUCCUUGUUGGCCUUCUGGCCCAACCAAUAGGAACCAACCUUGUUCAGUAUCUGAUCCAUGUAUGCAGCGCUCUCUCUCAAAUCCUCGAUUGAACAACUGGUUUAAUUAUCUUGAAAAUUUCUCU
rnacentral:misc_RNA from 1 species